rnacentral:rRNA from 1 species
CGUGGCGAACGGGUGCGUAACACGUGGACAACUUUCCUGGUGGUGGGGAAUAACCCCGCGAAAGCGGGGCUAAUACCGCAUAACAUUGCGAGGGCACAUGCUUUUGCAAUCAAACCCGCAAGGGGCCGCUAGAGGGGUCCGCGGCCGAUUAGCUAGUUGGUGAGGUAAUGGCUCACCAAGGCGAUGAUCGGUAGCCGGUCUGAGAGGAUGGCCGGCCACACUGGAACUGAGACACGGUCCAGACUCCUACGGGAGGCAGCAGUGGGGAAUCUUGCGCAAUGGGCGAAAGCCUGACGCAGCAACGCCGCGUGGGGGAUGAAGCUUCUCGGAGUGUAAACCCCUUUCGACCCGGACGAAUGCCCGCAAGGGCUUGACGGUACGGGUAUAAGAAGCCCCGGCUAACUACGUGCCAGCAGCCGCGGUAAAACGUAGGGGGCCAGCGUUGCUCGGAAUUACUGGGCGUAAAGGGUCCGUAGGCGGUGUGACAAGUCGGGAGUGAAAUCUCUGGGCUUAACUCAGAGGCUGCUUUCGAAACUGCCGUGCUCGAGUGCGGGAGAGGCCAGUGGAAUUGCAGGUGUAGCGGUGAAAUGCGUAGAUAUCUGCAGGAACACCCGUGGCGAAGGCGGCUGGCUGGACCGCAACUGACGCUGAGGAACGAAAGCUAGGGGAGCAAACAGGAUUAGAUACCCUGGUAGUCCUAGCCCUAAACCAUCAGGACUUGGGGUGGCUCGCGUAGGCGGGUCGUCCCGUAGCUAACGCGUUAAGUCCUGCGCCUGGGGAGUACGGUCGCAAGACUGAAACUCAAAGGAAUUGACGGGGGCCCGCACAAGCGGUGGAACAUGUGGUUCAAUUCGA